GCAUAAUCAUUUGCCUUUUAAUUGGAGGCUAGUAUGAAAGGAUAAACAAGAAUAUAGCUGUCUCUUAUAAUUAAUUAAAAACUAGAGUUCAGGUGAAGAUACCUGAAUAUUUAUAAAGGACAAGAAGACCCUACAGAGCUUUAUUAGAAAAAGACUAAAUCUUAUACUAAUUUGGUUGGGACAACCAAAAGACAUAAAGACCUCUUUAUACUUACUUUUUAUUUAACCUGAAAAGAUAAAAACGAAGCUACCUUAGGGAUAACAGGCUAAUCUUACUAAAG
rnacentral:rRNA from 1 species